AAACUUGGGCUAAUACCGCAUGAGCCCUGAGGGGGAAAGCGGGGGAUCUUCGGACCUCGCGCUAAGGGAAGAGCCUACGUCUGAUUAGCUAGUUGGUAGGGUAAAGGCCUACCAAGGCGACGAUCAGUAGCUGGUCUGAGAGGACGACCAGCCACACUGGGACUGAGACACGGCCCAGACUCCUACGGGAGGCAGCAGUGGGGAAUUUUUCGCAAUGGGGGCAACCCUGACGAAGCAAUGCCGCGUGGAUGAAGAAGGCCUUCGGGUUGUAAAGUCCUUUCGUGGGGGACGAAAAGGCGGGUCCUAAUACGAUCUGCUGUUGACGUGAACCCAAGAAGAAGCACCGGCUAACUCCGUGCCAGCAGCCGCGGUAAUACGGGGGGUGCAAGCGUUAAUCGGAAUCACUGGGCGUAAAGGGUGCGUAGGCGGUACGUUAGGUCUGUCGUGAAAUCCCCGGGCUCAACCUGGGAAUGGCGGUAGAAACCGGCGCACUAGAGUAUGGGAGAGGGUGGUGGAAUUCCAGGUGUAGCGGUGAAAUGCGUAGAGAUCUGGAGGAACAUCAUUGGCGAAGGCGGCCACCUGGCCCAAUACUGACGCUGAGGCACGAAAGCGUGGGGAGCAAACAGGAUUAGAUACCCUGGUAGUCCACGCCCUAAACGAUGAAUACUAGAUGUUUGGUACCUAGCGUACUGAGUGUCGUAGCUAACGCGAUAAGUAUUCCGCCUGGGAAGUACGGCCGCAAGGUUAAACUCAAAGGAAUUGACGG
rnacentral:rRNA from 1 species